rnacentral:rRNA from 1 species
CUAGCUGUAAACGAUGGAUACUAGGCGUUGAGAGUAUCGACCCUCUCAGUGUCGUAGCUAACGCGUUAAGUAUCCCGCCUGGGGAGUACGCGCGCAAGCGUGAAACUCAAAGGAAUUGACGGGGGCCCGCACAAGCGGUGGAGUAUGUGGUUUAAUUCGAUGCAACGCGAAGAACCUUACCAGGGCUUGACAUGUCCGGAACCCUGCCCAAAGGCGGGGGUGCCUACGGGGACCGGAACACAGGUGGUGC